rnacentral:rRNA from 1 species
UGGAGAGUUUGAUCCUGGCUCAGGACGAACGCUGGCGGCGCGCCUAACACAUGCAAGUCGAGGGAGAACCGGACCUUCGGGUCCGGGGAGACCGGCGAACGGGUGAGUAACACGUGAGGAAUCUGCCCUGUAGACCGGAAUAACCACGGGAAACUGUGGCUAAUGCCGGAUAUUCUCGCCGCUCCGCAUGGAGCAACGAGGAAAUGGUCAGCCGCUACAGGAUGACCUCGCGGCCUAUCAGCUUGUUGGUGGGGUAACGGCCCACCAAGGCAACGACGGGUAGCUGGCGUGAGAGCGCGAACAGCCACACUGGGACUGAGACACGGCCCAGACUCCUACGGGAGGCAGCAGUGGGGAAUCUUGCUCAAUGGGCGAAAGCCUGAAGCAGCGACGCCGCGUGCGGGAAGAAGGCCUUCGGGUUGUAAACCGCU